rnacentral:rRNA from 1 species
CCCAAGAGACUGGGAUAACACCUGGAAACAGAUGCUAAUACCGGAUAACAACACUAGACGCAUGUCUAGAGUUUAAAAGAUGGUUCUGCUAUCACUCUUGGAUGGACCUGCGGUGCAUUAGCUAGUUGGUAAGGUAACGGCUUACCAAGGCAAUGAUGCAUAGCCGAGUUGAGAGACUGAUCGGCCACAUUGGGACUGAGACACAGCCCAA